rnacentral:rRNA from 1 species
UACAGAGGGGGCAAGCGUUGUUCGGAAUUACUGGGCGUAAAGGGCGCGUAGGCGGCCUGCUAAGUCGAACGUGAAAUCCCCGAGCUCAACUCGGGAACUGCGUCCGAUACUGGCAGGCUUGAAUCCGGGAGAGGGAUGCGGAAUUCCAGGUGUAGCGGUGAAAUGCGUAGAUAUCUGGAGGAACACCGGUGGCGAAGGCGGCAUCCUGGACCGGCAUUGACGCUGAGGCGCGAAAGCGUGGGGAGCAAACAGGG